ensembl:lncRNA
GCAGUUUGGUCCAGGAAUUAUCACGUUCAUUAUUCCUCAUCUAGCAGCUCUCAAAUUGUUUUGAUGCAUUUGAUGCUGCUGAGCCAAAACUAUUUUAAUUAUAAGCCAUCAUUAUUGCAAAUUCUUCAGAUUUCAUGAUAAGUCUUAGGAUUUUUUACUAUCUUUCCCAAAGCCUCAGCUGUCAGAGUUGCUACGAAGCGCAAGGAUCCCAGUUUUCAUAUCUAAUACCCAGCUUGCAUGGAUGCAAGACACCCAGAGAUACCAUUAAUGUUUGGUCAAACGGUUUGCUCAUCUCUCAACUUGCUUUUUGGAGAACACUCUGGCAAGAGAAAGUGAUAGAACUCACAUCUUGCACACGCAUUACAGUGCAUCCCUUGAACAGGAAAUGUGAAGCUGAUAAUAGAGAAUAUUUGCACUGCAACUCCUCAGCUUGAGAAAGUCACGCUCCUCUGAUCUGGUACAGAAAUACAGCACGAUGACUCAUGAGCACUGAGCGUAUCAGGGUGUGCAUUGGGGUGAGAUGGGCUCAGCCCUGCCAAAAACCAAAGCAGGAGCUGAGGGAAGUCAAAGCAUCAAAGAUGCUGAAGCCCUUUAAGUGCACCUGCAGGCUCCUUCUCAUAUGCCUGAACUGAAACACGUGCAGCCAGAAACAAAUCCAUCAGCAGUCUCAACCGAAUGGACAAUUUGUGCAAGGAAAAUGAGGAGAAAGUCUGUGGGUAAAUUAUUUGUCACAAAUUAUUCACCCAGCUCUACCUGACAGAGCAGCAUUCUGCGUUUGAUCUCUGUGAGCGACUGUCAUGAGAAUCAAAGGGAGUUUUGUCAGGGGAUUAAGUGCAGAAGAUGUCGUCGAGAACUACAUUAAAGAUAAGAAAUCCAGAGUGUGGCCCAAAGUGGCUAAUCCCAGCACAACUAGUGAAUUAUUAAGUUGGUCAUUUGACAGAAGGAGGAAAAGAGGGGAAAAAAAAAAAAAAAGAAACCCAAAAAAACCCCAAACCGCAUCAACUGUUUCUGAGACUGCCUAAAAAGAGGCUUCUAUUAAAAUAUAAGGGUUGUAUAAUAAGAAAGCAAAGUGUGGUUCCAGCAGG